GCGCUAAGCUCCCCUUUAAGACGCUUCUCUUGUUCCAUAGACAAAGAAGAAACAGAAGCGCGGAUGUUUGCAGAGGUUUCGAUUAGCCAAAUCUCGUAACGUUUAAAACCUCCUUCGCAUUUCCUGCAUCUACUUGAGGGCUGUUGAUCCCGUUUGUUGCGAAUUAUAUAUUAUUCGUGUAGACCCAGCGUUCAGUAAAUAUCAGAGAAAAUAAUUCAGCGUAAAUAUCUACUGAAGAAUCUCCGGUAGCGUCAAACCUUUAUCUCGGUUAGCAUAGCGCUAGCUUUGUUUGCGUUAUCAUGUCCGGAGGACUCGUUCGGGGACCCGCGGGAAGUAAUGAUUGUCGCAUAUACGUGGGGAACCUUCCCCCCGACAUUCGCUCCAAAGAUGUGGAAGAUUUGUUUUACAAAUAUGGAUCUAUUCGUGACAUUGAUCUGAAAAACCGACGGGGAGGACCGCCGUUUGCCUUUGUGCAGUUCGAGGAUCCGAGGGACGCUGAGGAUGCUGUGUACGGCAGAGACGGUUAUGAUUACGAUGGUUACCGUCUACGCGUGGAGUUUCCGAGAAGUGGGAGAGGAGGUGGUGGCGGCGGUGGUGGGGGAGGUGGAGGAAUGGGACCGCCAAGGGGGAGGUACGGUCCCCCGUCCCGGCGCUCCGAGAACAGGGUGAUUGUGUCAGGUCUUCCCCCCAGUGGAAGCUGGCAGGACCUGAAGGAUCACAUGCGGGAGGCAGGUGAUGUAUGUUAUGCUGAUGUGUUCCGUGAUGGCACUGGAGUGGUGGAGUUUGUGCGCAAGGAAGAUAUGACGUACGCUGUGCGUAAAUUGGAUAACACAAAGUUCCGCUCCCACGAGGUACGUAACAAAGGAAAGUCUAACACUAACUUCAAAAUGGCUUUAGGGUCGUGUUAUGAAAUUGAGCGAAGGAAAAGAAAGAAAGGGAGGGUGGAAAUUAAGCUACAUUUAGCUCGUGUGUUUAUAUUUGUAUGCGGGUGUGUAAGCUCUUGACAAAAAUCUACAACCCCUUUCCCUUACAAAUUCUACAAAGAUUUGUAUGACCAGAUUCUUACAAACUGCACAGAAUUCUAAAUGUAUAUUUAUGCCACUGAAAUGGGACAGCAAGGUGAUGCAAAUACAAUACCUCUCAAUGGUGAUUUUGGCACUUGUGAUGUUCACCUACCAACCUCUUGUUUGCUUGAGCCUUUUUGGGGGUCGCAUAAUGUAAGAAAAAUGUGAGGGUUCAUAUCAGUUCAUGAGUGUAAUCGUAAUCUUUGGAGAAGGCAACUAUACUGUCACAAAUUUCUACAGUUGUUGCAUAAAUCAUAAAGUAAUCAGACCGAUUUACCUUGGAAGUAUCGGACCUUUACAGAUCUUGUCACUUUUGGUGACAUGUGGAAGUCAUUUUAUGCAGUUUUUUGUAUCUUCUAAGCAAAAAAUGUAAAUUCUGGUAGAACUUUCUUACUGAAAAGUAGAAAAUUCUCUAAGCACCUGUAAAUCUCCAGUUUUCACAAAUAUCCAACAUUUGCAAAUAAGGACAUUUACACUUUUUAUUGUGCACAUACAUCACUUGGACGUAAAAGAUGGAAGCUGCACUGUAUACACACCCAGGUUAUGCCAGUUAAAAUUCCAUUAGAAUUCGUUUUAUCCUCUACUGGAAAAGAUUUUGAGGCACAUCUGUGUUAAAUUGUGACAUUUCUUAAUUUCGGGCUUGAUGUAAACGUAACCUUUACCUUUCUACUUUGUUUUUAUUUAUUUCCAAAGAAUCUAGAAAGGAAUGCUACUGUUGAUUUGCAUUUGCACUGGUCUUGAAGUCCAUGGAUGUCUUGUGAAGUCAGUGUAAUAAUAAUAAGUCAACACAAUGUCUUUAUUGUAAUAGCUGUACAAACAUGUUUUUGUGUGUAUGAUGUGUUGAGUCUGAAGGAAAGGGCAGAAGCGUGAGGACCUUUGACCCUAACAGGCACAAACGCUUUCUGAGUUCAGAGGAACAGGAUAGGAUGGGAAGAGAGGAAACAGUUCAUGUUAAGAUAAACAGGAGGAGGAGGAGUCAAAUAUGGCACCAAUGGUAUGAUGGCUGUGCCUUGUAAACUGUGAAAUCUGCAUUAUAAGGCUAUUGUGACUUUUUAUUUUUUUUUAAAAAAAGCAAACACCCACUUUCCAGUAGAUUGCUGUUGAAUGUUACAGUAAACCAUGUUGUGUUCGGAAGACUCUAAGGUUGUUAGUUUUUUUGUUUUACUUUUUUUUUUCCAUCUUUCUGUUUUCAAAGCAUCUUUGGGCUUAAAUUUAGUUGAUGCCCUUUGUUUUAUCCCCCUAAAGUAAACUCCCUGGUAGCUGCAUUUAUUAAUAACAGUGAAUUUUAUUUUGAAGGUGUGAUUCUAACUCACCUCCUUCUCUUUGCUGCUGGUAUUCUGAAGGUUUGGACUGGGCUCAUUGUCUCCCCAUUCCGGAGCUGGAUCAGGAUUCAGGAUCAGAUUAGGAUUAGGCUUCAGGAUGGAUACAUGGAGCACGACCCUGGCCCUGUCCACAUAACCCUGGCAUUCCGGAAUCGUUUUUUGUAGCCCAAUCAAAUGAAAUUUGGCAACCUAUUUAAGACAAAUGAUUCCAUCUAUAUCUUUGAAACCACAAAGGUGCGAUUACUGAGGAGGAGGAAUUAUAUUCGGAAGAUUGGUAAUUUGAUAAAAAGGAGCAAAGCUUGGAUCAGAUCCAGGAGGAGGUCUGGAAGUGACAGGAUGGAUCUCCACGCGUAAGGAGAGCGGUAAAUAGUGGGAAACCUUUGACAGCAGUAGAGGGAGGGGGCGGGGGGCAUGAAAAAUGUCUAAGGAAUGUGACAUUUAAUGUGUGUUGUUUAUUUUGUUUUUUUCCCCCAGUCAGGUUGUUUUUUUUAUUUUAAAUAGAUGAAACAUUUUUUUCCCCUUGACUCUUGUCUCCAGUAUUUCAAAGCUUUAUUCUCUUUUAAUAAAACAUUGAGUAACACUA